rnacentral:rRNA from 1 species
CCAGACUUGGGCUUGGUUAAUCAUCUGGGGUUCUCCCCAGUGCACUUUUCCAGUCCAGGCCAGCAUCAGUUUGGACGGUUGGAUAAAGGCCUCUGUCACGUACCUUCUCUCGGGAAGGCCUUAUAGGGGAGGCGUCAUGCAACCAGUCUGGACUGAGGUCCGCGCAUCUGCUAGGAUGCUGGCGUAAUGGCUGUAAGCGG